rnacentral:rRNA from 1 species
CGUACGCCGUACCGACCAACGGGAAGGGACGACGACCCGGGUCCCGAACGGUAGGUNAGCGACUGGGUG